rnacentral:lncRNA from 1 species
UUCAAUCUCAUAAUACAAGUCUUACUUACAUUAGGUUUUCUAAUAACUUAAGUUAUUCAACUUCCAUUAGGAAUCCUAUUAAGCACCAACUCUUGGAGUCCUUGCACCCACAUAAACACACACCAAAGUGCACCCAAGGGACAUCCCAUAUAAGAUCAAAAAGUCCUCUAAUCAUGGGACACGCCCAACUUGAUCAAAUCAAGGUGGC